rfam:Picea glauca, whole genome shotgun sequence.
CCAUUUUAAAAAAGACUUUUGUUGGAUGGACCCUAAGUGUCCCAUAUCCUAUGAUUCACACUUGUUGAUAGGCAGGAAGACUGAGGCUUUGUAGAGUGUCUCAAAAGCGUAAAGGAAAAAUUCCCUGAAGUCCAUGGCCUUGAUCAUGCCUAUAUUUGAGGGUCAUUUGAUCAUAUCAUAAUAUUUCCCAAAAAUCAAUCUCAAUGAAGAGGGUUUUGAAAUCAAGGAAACAUUUGAGGGCAUUCCAUAAUUUUUUUGCCUUUAAGCAAUAUCACAGACAACCUUCCAUCCAAAUUCAACAAAAUUGAAACCCAUUUUUGAGAGUUGUUGGUGCCUCAUCCUAUAACUGAUGAUAACGUUAGGAAAUAUGGAGAUGUCGUCGAGGCCCCCAGGAAGAGUUAUAUUUUCUUUUUAACAACUUUUCCACACUGAACUCGGCUCAACCAGACAUAGGGUCCAAUAGUUGGAAGAGCAUCACACAUCUUGUGGUGUCCUGUGUGCCCUCGAAGACCCAUGAAAAUCUAGAGGAACAACCUCAUAACCACAUCGGGUCUCCAAGGUGAAAAACCUCUGGUCAAUAGAACAAUGUAGGUAAGGGAAGUUGGCAAAAUGGAUCUGUAACCUCGGGAAAAGGAUUGGUUCUGAGGGAUAGACCUAGGGGUUUGCAUCCUCAACUCGUGGGUUGUUGGUAGUCUUCCCAUGGGACUGUCAUUGAUUAAUGCUACCUCCUUUUGAAUGGUAGUGCAACUAAUUAAUGCUACCUCCUUUUGAAUGGUAGAGAACCACCUAUCAUUCAUGAUCCAACACAUAGUAGUCAAGAAUCCCAUCCAUUGCUAAUUAUUGGGCUCUAAAGAUGUCCUAGAAACAACCUUAGU